AGAGUUUGAUCCUGGCUCAGGAUGAACGCUGGCGGUGUGCCUUAUACAUGCAUGUCGAACGAGGCGUAGCAAUACGUCUAGUGGCAAAUGGGUGAGUAAUAAAUAGGUAACCAACCCUUAAGACGGGGAUACCCCAUCGAAAGAUGGAAUAAUACCCGAUAAUGUCCCUUCCGGUGCGCUGGAGGGGAAGAAAGAUGGCGCAAGCUAUCACUUUUGGACGGGCUUAUUUCCUAUCAGCUAGUUGGUGAGGUAACGGCUUACCAAGGCUACGACGGGUAGCUGGUCUGAGAGGACGGUCAGCCACAUUGGGACUGCGACACGGCCCAGACUCCUACGGGAGGCAGCAGUCGGGAAUAUUCGGCCAAUGCGCGAAAGCGUGACCGAGCGACACCGCGUGGGCGACGAAGAUCUUAGGAUUGUAAAGCCCUUUUGCCAGGGAAGAAUACGCUGGAGACAAUAUCAAUAGCGUUUGACGGUACCUGGCGAAUAAGCCGCAGCAAACUACGUGCCAGCAGCUGCGGUAAUACGUAGGCGGCGAGCGUUAUCCGGAAUUACUGGGUGUAAAGGGUCCGCAGGCGUCUUGUUAAGUUAAGAGUUAAAUCUCAAAGCCCAACUUUGAGGCUGCUCCUAAGACUGGCAAGAUAGAGUGUAGAAGACGGAAGUGGAAUUCCUGGUGGAGAGGUAAAAUCCGUAGAUAUCAGGAGGAACACCUGUGGUGAAGACGGCUUCCGAGUCUAUAACUGACGCUCAUGGACGAAAGCUAGGGGAGCAAACAGGAUUAGAUACCCUGGUAGUCCUAGCCCUAAACGAUGAAUACUUGGUAAUAGGGAGUACAUACUCUUUAUCGCCGAAGCUAACGCAUUAAGUAUUCCACCUGGGGACUACGGCCGCAAGGUUGAAACUCAAAGGAAUUGACGGGGGCCCGCACAAGCAGCGAGGCAUGUGGUUUAAUUCGAUGCUACACGAAGAACCUUACCUGGGCUUGACAUGUAGUGGAAAGCAGUAUGAAAGUACUGCCCUUGUUGUAGCAAUACAACAACCGCUAUGCAGGUGGUGCAUGGUUGUCGUCAGCUCGUGUCGUGAGAUGUAAGGUUAAGUCCUUAAACGAGCGCAACCCCUGCCACUAGUUGCCACCGGUUCGGCCGGGCACUCUAGUGGGACCGCUAGUGAUAAACUAGAGGAAGGUGGGGAU
rnacentral:rRNA from 1 species